UGGCGGCGUGCCUAACACAUGUCAAGUCGAACGGGGUAUGAUCUCGGAGUGUACUAGUGGCGAACGGGUGAGUAACGCGUGAGCAACCUGCCUACUUUGAGGGGAUAACACCGGAAACGGUUGCUAAUACCGCAUAAGACCACACUGUCGCAUGACAGAGAGGUCAAAGGAGCAAUCCGCAGAGAGAGGGGCUCGCGUCCCAUUAGGUAGACGGCGGGUAACGGCCCACCGUGCCGACGAUGGGUAGCCGAGCUGAGAGGCUGAUCGGCCACACUGGAACUGAGACACGGUCCAGACUCCUACGGGAGGCAGCAGUGGGGAAUAUUGGGCAAUGGGCGAAAGCCUGACCCAGCAACGCCGCGUGAGGGAAGAAGGUCUUCGGAUUGUAAACCUCUGUCCUUGGUGACGAAGGAAGUGACGGUAGCCAAGGAGGAGGCCCCGGCUAACUACGUGCCAGCAGCCGC
rnacentral:rRNA from 1 species